UCUGGUUGAUCCUGCAGUAGAUUGCUUAAUCUCAAGAUUAAGCCAAUGCAUGUCUUAGUAGCACAGACUAGUACUUCUGAAAACCGCGGAAUGGCUCAUUAUAAACAGCUUGAUUUGAGAGAUUUAUCAUUUUCCAAAGAUAACUGUGGUAAUUCUAGAGCUUAAUAUUUUUUAAAGAUGCCGUGACUCACGAAGCGGCGAUUAUAGAUCAAAAUCAACUCCGCUGAAAGGCCGGUAUUUUGAAUGACCCUGGAUAUUUUACUGAUCGUACGACCUUUGUGUUUGGACGACAUAUCUCUUGAAGUGGCUGACCUUAAUCAACUUUCGAUGGUAAGAUAAACGCUUACCAUGGUUGUAACGGUAACAGGGAAUCAGUGUUCGAUUCGGAGAGGGAGCCUGAGAAACGGCUACCACAUCCACGAAGGCAUGCAGGCCGCGUAAAUCUACCGCAAUACGCGGUUCGGUGAAAGGUAGUGACAAAAAUAACAAUAUGGGCCGCUAGUGGUUUCAAUAAUUGCAAUGAGAACAUUUUUAAAUAACUUUAUCAAGUAUCAAUUGGAGGGCAAGUCUUGCGUGCCAGCAGCCGCGGUAAUUCAGCUCCAAUAGCGUAUAUUAAAGUUGUUGCAGUUAAAAAGCGUCGUAGUUGAAAUUGAAGGAAAAAGAUGGUUUGAAUCUAUGAUUGAGAGCUAUCUUGUCCUCGCAGUCGUGUAUAUCUUUGAUGCUCUUUUUAAAUGGUGUUGAGGAUGACUCGGAACAAGUUUUACUUUGAAAAAAUUAGAAGGUGCUUAAAGCAGGCUUACGCUUGUUAUAUUGUUGCAAUGGAAUAUAAAAUAGGACUUCGGUUUUAUUUUUGUUGGUUUUCGAAAACUGAAGUAUGAUUAAAACGAGACUGCGGGGGCAUAUGUAUGCUGGUGCUAGGGUGAAAUUCUUAGAUCAUCAGCAGACAGUUACUGCGAAGCAUUUGCCAAGAAUGUUUUCAUUAAUCAAGAACGAAAGUCAGAGGAUCGAAGACGAUCAGAUACGUCCUAGUUCUGACCAUAAACUAUGCCAACUGACAGUUCGCGAAGGUAAUUCAAAUUCCUUGCCGAGAAGUCACCGGGAAACCUAAAGUCUAUGGGUUCCGGGGGAAGUAGGUUUGCAAAGCUGAAAACUUAAAGGAAUUGACGAGGGCACCACCAGCGAGGUGGAGCCUGCGCUUAAUUUGACUCAACACGGGAAACCUCACCCGGUCGCGGACACUGUGAGGAAUUGACGAUUGAUAGCUUCUUUCUUGAUUAGGUGGGUGGUGGUGCAUGGCCGUUCUUUAAGUUGGUGGAGCGAUUUGUCUGGUUAAUUCGCGUUAAACGACGAGACUCUCAACCUGCUAAAUAGUACGAUUUGGUGUUUCUAAACGCAAAUGCUAGACUUUCUUAGAGGAAUAAAUAGCGUUUAGGCUAAAUGAAAUUGAGCAAUAACAGGUCUGUGAUGCCUUAGAUGUCCGGGGCAGCACGCGCGCUACAAUGGCAGUAACAGCGAUUUUAUUCCUAGCUAGAAAUGGCCGGGUAACCUGCCUAAAUCACCUGUAGUGUCAGGAGAUAGUGGAUUGAAAUUAUUCCACUUGAAAGCGAGGAAUUCCCUUAGUAAAGCGCAAGUCACUAGCUUGCGCUGAUUACUGAUCCCUGCCCUUUGUACACACCGCCCGUCGCUAUUCUUACCGAUUGAAUGGUUUAGUGAGAUCGUUGGAUUCU
rnacentral:rRNA from 1 species